CGCUUGUGACCAGACUUGGGCGCGGCGGAUCAUCCGGGGUUCUCUCCGGUGCACUUCGACGCGUCCAGGCCAGCAUCAGUUCGUCGCGGGGGAAAAAGGCUUCGGGAACGUGGCUCCUCCGGGAGUGUUAUAGCCCGUUGCAUAAUACCCUGCUUUGGACUGAGGACCGCGCAUCUGCAAGGAUGCUGGCGUAAU
rnacentral:rRNA from 1 species